rnacentral:rRNA from 1 species
UACGUAGGGGGCAAGCGUUGUCCGGAUUUAUUGGGCGUAAAGAGCGUGUAGGCGGUCAGGUAGGUCGGUUGUGAAAACUGGAGGCUCAACCUUCAGAGGUCGACCGAAACCCCCUGGCUAGAGUCCGGGAGAGGAGAGUGGAAUUCCUGGUGUAGCGGUGAAAUGCGCAGAUAUCAGGAAGAACACCCGUGGCGAAAGCGGCUCUCUGGAACGGCACUGACGCUGAGACGCGAAAGCGUGGGGAGCGAACAGG